CCGGCUCUCGCGGGAGGCGUGGCCCACGGGCCCGGGGGGCUCCGCGGGUCUGGAGCGGAGCGGGGCGGCGGUUCUCUUCGCACGAGGGUCCUUCCCGCUUCGCGGCUCCGUCCCGCGGAGACGGAGCCAGAGACGGAGCGAGCUUCCAGCCGCGUCCGCCGGCCCGGGGGCCCGAGAGUGAGAACGCUGGCCGGGCGUCCCGGUCGCCGGUCGCCGGUCGCCGGUCGCCGGGGCUCGAGGGCCGGCCCGAGCGUGCAGGUCGCGCGCGUGCUCGGGACUGAGCCCGGACCUGAAGCUGCAGCUCCGUGUCCAGACCGGAGGUGAGCGGGGCCGCUGUCCUGUCCGGCAGCCCCGGGUGGCGGGUGCGCGGGGAGGCCGGGAACGGUGCCCGCGCCUCGCCGCCGCCACGGGGCUCGGCCUCGUGUCCCGGCUGCCUUCCCGCUCGCACAGCACCUGACCCUGCGGGCCUCAGCCCCGGGGCCCCUCCCGAAAGCGUCUGCUUUCAUCCGCCGGGCGACGUCGCUGCCUCCUCCACCGAGGGUGGCCACACGGGGGUGGCGGGGCUCCGCGCUCUGGAAGGUCGUUCCCACGGAAGACCCCGCCUGCUGCCUGGCCCGUCCGGUGCCGCCCGCCAUCCCAGGGCUUCGGUACGGCAUUUGUCACGGGGCCUUGGGACACCUGAUUUUUUUGUUUCUAUUUCCUGGUUUUCUCUGGGACACUCGGAGGCGAUCUCGUCCUUCCCGUGCGUCUGUCUCACCCAUCCGCGGGCGUUCAGGACGCGUGGGGCAGACGUUGGACGAUACCAGAGGCCCCGCAGAGUGGCAUCCUGGGAGUGCUCCUAGCUCCCGGGCCGGCCGUCCCCCGGUGUCCCUCCCCCACCUCGAGCUCCGAUCCCUCCCCCACCCGCCCCUACCCUGGCUUCCCUGAAUUUCUCACCAAGGACUCCCGCCCCUUAGGUCUUUCCCUCCUGCGGGCUGGGGCUGCUCUUAGUCUGCAGAACUGUGAAUGCCCUAAUCAUUGUAAGUGACAUUCAUAACCUUUUCCAGGAGGUCGUAGGAUUCUUGAGGUCAGGGAUUAUAUCUUAAACUUAGUGUUUUUUUCAGUUAUUCAUAAUUUAUUGCAGUCAUAGGCACAUUAUAAAUGUUCAGCAAGGACUGAUGGCUUCGUUUCAGGGAUUGAUCUGGCUUCCUAGGGGAAGCUUCCUUGGCUAGAAUAAAGACGGUAGAUGACUCCCUGCAGCCUCAACACGCAGCUCCCUGGACGGCCCCCUCAAGCCCCCGCCCACACCUCAUGCAUCAUACGAUUGACUCUUACCCUGCGGAUGAACCGUGUGAAUGCGCAGUAGCUACACGUACGGUGAGAGCCCAUCACCGUGCUGCUGGCGAUGAUUGCCAACAGCCAGUUCUGCCGAGGACUUGCCUGCAGUGUGUCAGGCGUUGUGCUAAAUACUUUCCACGUAGGGAGGAUACGCUGCCUGCUGCCUUCUCAGAUGAAGAAAUCAGGAUUUCCAGAGGUGAAGUAAUUUCCCCACGUCACAUCAUGAACUAACGGCAGAGCUGGAACAGAAGAGCAGUUCUGCCUGCUGCGCAGCUAACCUGUAAACAAAAUGUUGAUGAUGAAUUUUGAUUUCCUUCUCUGCGCCCUUCUCA